GGGAGAAGUGAGGAAAGAAGGGAAAAGAGAGUGGGAAAGCGACGGGAGGAGAGAGAGAGAGAGAGAGAGAGAGAGAGAGAGAGAGAGAGAGAGAAGAAGAAGAAGAAGAAGAAGAAGAAGAAGAAGAAGAAAAGAGGGGAUGAAAUGAGGAGGUAAGUAGGAAGGUACAUGAGAGAGAGAGGUGUUUUAUAAGAGAAGUGUUUUACAGGGAAAAAUACAUGGAGUGGAGGUAGAGGAGGGGAGAGGGAAGGG
rnacentral:lncRNA from 1 species